UAGUUCUGCUGUGUAUAAGUGCAACGUUAAUAUUUUUUUAGG
rnacentral:lncRNA from 1 species